rnacentral:tRNA from 1 species
GUAAAUAUAGUUUAAACAAAACUCUAGAUUGUGAAUCUAGUAAUAGAGGCUUACAACCCUCUUAUCUACC